rnacentral:tRNA from 1 species
UUGGGUGUCGCGAACGGCGGCGUCGAGCUGGCCUUUCAAGCUGGCCAUGUGGGUUCGAUUCCCGUCACCCGCUCCA